rnacentral:rRNA from 1 species
GAUGAACGCUGGCGGCGUGCCUAAUACAUGCAAGUCGAGCGAACAGACGAGGAGCUUGCUCCUUUGACGUUAGCGGCGGACGGGUGAGUAACACGUAGGUAACCUACCUAUAAGACUGGGAUAACUUCGGGAAACCGGAGCUAAUACCGGAUAAUAUUUCGAACCGCAUGGUUCGAUAGUGAAAGAUGGCUUUGCUAUCACUUAUAGAUGGACCUGCGCCGUAUUAGCUAGUUGGUAAGGUAACGGCUUACCAAGGCAACGAUACGUAGCCGACCUGAGAGGGUGAUCGGCCACACUGGAACUGAGACACGGUCCAGACUCCUACAGGAGGCAGCAGUAGGGAAUCUUCCGCAAUGGGCGAAAGCCUGACGGAGCAACGCCGCGUGAGUGAUGAAGGUCUUCGGAUCGUAAAACUCUGUUAUUAGGGAAGAACAAACGUGUAAGUAACUGUGCACGUCUUGACGGUACCUAAUCAGAAAGCCACGGCUAACUACGUG